rnacentral:rRNA from 1 species
AACGAACGCUGGCGGCAGGCUUAACACAUGCAAGUCGAGCGGACCCUUCGGGGUCAGCGGCGGACGGGUGAGUAACGCGUGGGAACGUGCCCUUUGGUUCGGAAUAGCCCUGGGAAACUGGGAGUAAUGCCGGAUAAGCUCUACGGAGGAAAGAUUUAUCGCCAAAGGAUCGGCCCGCGUUGGAUUAGGUAGUUGGUGGGGUAACGGCCUACCAAGCCGACGAUCCAUAGCUGGUUUGAGAGGAUGAUCAGCCACACUGGGACUGAGACACGGCCCAGACUCCUACGGGAGGCAGCAGUGGGGAAUCUUGGACAAUGGGGGAAACCCUGAUCCAGCCAUGCCGCGUGAUCGAUGAAGGCCUUAGGGUUGUAAAGAUCUUUCAGCGAGGAAGAUAAUGACGGUACUCGCAGAAGAAGCCCCGGCUAACUCCGUGCCAGCCGCCGCGGUAAAAC